UUAACUGCAGUAAUAAUGGUGAAGACCCAGCAAGUUUUUUUGUCUACUCUGUGGCUUCAGUUAAGCUGGGUGAGUGGCAAACCUGGAGUGGAGCACAGUCCCCAGUACCUGACCGCCCAGGAAGGAGACUCUGUCACGAUCACCUGCAGUUACUCCAUAGGAAUGACCGCUUUACACUGGUUGCAGCAGAAUCCUGGAGGACACAUUGUCUCCUUGUUUAUACUGAGCCUAGAGAUGAAGAAGAAGGGAAGAGUGAGGGCCACGAUAAACACAGAGGAACUCCACAGCUCUCUGUACAUCACAGCCUCCCAGCCCAGAGACUCUGCCACCUACCUCUGUGCUGUGUCCAACUAUGGAAGCAACAACUUAAUCUUCGGGACGGGAACUAAAGUCACUGUUAUACCCAAUAUCACGGACCCUGACCCUGCCGUGUACCAGCUGAGAAGCCCUAAAUCCAGUAACAUCUCUGUCUGCCUGUUCACCGAUUUUGAUUCUGAAACCAAUAAGGAGCAAGCCCCAGAGUCCACGAUGAUCAGGCUAAACAGUACCGUCCUGGACAUGUGGUCGAUGAAUUCCAAGAGCAAUGGGGCCCUGGCCUGGAGCACCAGCACUGAUUUUAAAUGCAAUGAGACCUUCGAUGAGGAAUUCUACUCCAGCUCAGACUUUUCCUGUAAUGCCACUUUGAUAGAGAAAAGCUUCGAAACAGAUAUGAACCUAAACUUCUACAACCUGCUCAUAAUCGGGCUGCGUGUCAUCCUCCUGAAAGUGGCUGGGUUUAACCUGUUCAUGACGCUGUGGCUGUGGUCUCGCUGAGGUCACCAAGAACAUGAGAGCGCCUGGCACUCCCUCGCUCCUGGCUCCCCACCGUACCUCUUCCCUCUCUUCAAGCAGAGAGGCAGACUGUCUGCUCCCCUGAACAGAUAAGAAGGCUCCCUCUGCCUCUCUGGCCCCACUGGCAAUGGCCACCAGCUGGAUCCCACCAGAUACUCACCAUCAAGGUGCUGAAGAGCUGCCAAACCCUGCCUCUGCCCCCUCGGUUCCCUCACUGCUGCUUGUCACCACUGGACGCUCACAGCAAAGUCAGGGGGCCGCUGCGGAGAGACUCCCUGUCCCUCCCCUGAGACUGCCUCUUACAUCCCCUGUCCCCUAUCCUCCGGGAGAGGAACCCCCAGUGGGUCCUCCUGGGCUCUAGCUCCUGGAGAAGGUUGUGAGGAGUCCGUUUUUUUUAAAUAAUGUUCAUAAAUAUGUAUACCCUUUUCCCCAAGAUGUGGGGGAAUUAUUACGGAGACCCUGCUGUGCUGUGUAUCUGAGCAGCGUUGUAUAUCCUGCUACCUAUGACUUCAUUAAAGGCAAUUUGGAAGAGCCCAAA